rnacentral:rRNA from 1 species
CGGCAGCACGGGAGCAAUCCUGGUGGCGAGUGGCGAACGGGUGAGUAAUACAUCGGAACGUGUCCUGGAGUGGGGGAUAGCCCGGCGAAAGCCGGAUUAAUACCGCAUACGCUCUGAGGAGGAAAGGGGGGGAUCUUAGGACCUCUCGCUCAAGGGGCGGCCGAUGGCAGAUUAGCUAGUUGGUGGGGUAAAGGCCUACCAAGGCGACGAUCUGUAGCUGGUCUGAGAGGACGACCAGCCACACUGGGACUGAGACACGGCCCAGACUCCUACGGGAGGCAGCAGUGGGGAAUUUUGGACAAUGGGCGCAAGCCUGAUCCAGCAAUGCCGCGUGUGUGAAGAAGGCCUUCGGGUUGUAAAGCACUUUUGUCCGGAAAGAAAACCGCCUGGCUAAUAUCCGGGUGGGAUGACGGUACCGGAAGAAUAAGCACCGGCUAACUACGUGCCAGCAGCCGCGGUAAUACGUAGGGUGCAAGCGUUAAUCGGAAUUACUGGGCGUAAAGCGUGCGCAGGCGGUCCGCUAAGACAGAUGUGAAAUCCCCGGGCUUAACCUGGGAACUGCAUUUGUGACUGGCGGGCUAGAGUAUGGCAGAGGGGGGUAGAAUUCCACGUGUAGCAGUGAAAUGCGUAGAGAUGUGGAGGAAUACCGAUGGCGAAGGCAGCCCCCUGGGCCAAUACUGACGCUCAUGCACGA